CGUUGUCGAUUACCCCUCGGUUCGGGAACCGACCCUUCAAAGCUUUCCGUCACCUUUCGGGGUGUUCGGUCCGCGAGUAGGGGCCGGGGACGCCGUCUUUGGGAAUACGACGGACGCCUGCGACGAUACUGAUAGCAGACGGGUCGGUUCAAUAAUGAAUUAGGCGGAGGCGGGGCUCUCACGUUCUUUUGUUAGUUCGGAGCGUCACCCCUCGAUUAAACGCUCCGACCCGUGCGCGGCGCAUAUAUACGGCGUACGUCUAUCCGUCCCGUCUUGAAACACGGACCAAGGAGUCUAGCAAGUGCGCGAGUCAUAAGGGUCCACUAAACCUUAGAUGGCGUAACGAAAGUAAUGUAGAAGAAAGAGGUAUUUAUAUCUCUUUUUUUUUAUGCGGUUUUGGGAGCAAUCCCAUAACCACGUUGGACCGAUCCCCUCGGAAAUGCUUCGUUCUUCACCCUUCGCGGGGUGGCGAGGCCGCUACCGAUAUAUGAGGGGCGCAGGUCCGGAGGCCCGCCAUAUUAUCCUCUCUCUCCGUUCCGACCUCCCUCGUUCGCGGGGAUCAAAUGGGGCCGGGCGGAGAAGAUGAUAGGCGGGUUCCAAGAGCGUUCGUGCUAGUACCCGAAAGAUGGUGAUCUAUGCCUGGCCAGGA
rnacentral:rRNA from 1 species